rnacentral:tRNA from 1 species
UGCAGGGUGGACAAGUUUGGUUAAGUCGGUGGUCUCAUAAGCCACAAAUCGAAGGUUCAAAUCCUUCCCCUGCCUCCA